UUAUCUCUGUAGAGUCUGCAUAUCAAUAAGCGGAGGAAAAGAAACUAACUAGGAUCCCCUCAGUAACGGCGAGUGAAGCGGGAAGAGCUCAAAUUUGAAAUCUUCAAGGUUUCUACCUUGACGAAUUGUAGUUUAAAGAAGUGUUUUCUGUUGGAAGUUUUGGUAAAAGUUCUUUGGAAAUAGGACAUCAUAGAGGGUGAGAAUCCCGUAUUUGACCAUUAUUUCCAACUUUGUGAUACACUUUCAAAGAGUCGGAUUGUUUGGGAAUGCAGUCCAAAAUGGGUGGUAAAUUUCAUCUAAAGCUAAAUAUUGGCGAGAGACCGAUAGCGAACAAGUACCGUGAGGGGAAAGAUGAAAAGAACUUUGAAAAGAGAGUUAAACAGUACGUGGAAUUGUCAAAAGGGAAGCGUUUGACACCAGUGUUGUUUUCUCGAAAAUCAAUUAAAAAAGAUUGGAUUUUGUGUUGUAUUGACUUUAUCAGCUUUCUGCACUCUUUUUCUUGUCUUUUUUAAUGCACUUUUCGUUUAACAAGUCAACAUCAAUUUCUUUUGUUGUAAAAGGGUCAUUGGAAGGUGGCUUUCUUUUCGGAGAAAGUGUUUAUAGCCUUUGGCCUCUGCAAUCGGAGAGAUUGAGGUCUGCAGCGUAGAUCCUUCGGGGUUAGAUACAUUUGUGCUAAGUUAUAGCCUUUCAUAGACAACUUGUUGACUAUGAUCAGUCAUGUAGCUUACUCGCUUAUGCUAUUUUACCUACGCUUAGGAUGUUGAUCUCUCACAGUCGAGC
rnacentral:rRNA from 1 species